GGGCCAUCUCCGAGUGCGGUGGGGCCGCGUGAACCGGGUCAGGCCUUAACCGGAGCAGCCCUAAGCGCUCAGCCUCAGGUGCAUGAGGGGGUGGCCCUUC
rnacentral:SRP_RNA from 1 species